rnacentral:rRNA from 1 species
UACGUAGGGUGCAAGCGUUGUCCGGAUUUAUUGGGCGUAAAGAGCUCGUAGGCGGUUUGUCGCGUCGGAUGUGAAAACCCAGGGCUCAACCCUGGGCCUGCAUUCGAUACGGGCAAACUAGAGUAUGGCAGGGGAGACUGGAAUUCCUGGUGUAGCGGUGAAAUGCGCAGAUAUCAGGAGGAACACCGGUGGCGAAGGCGGGUCUCUGGACCGUAACUGACGCUGAGGCGCGAAAGCGUGGGGAGCAAACAGG